rnacentral:rRNA from 1 species
CAGCAGCCGCGGUAAUACGGAGGGUGCAAGCGUUAUCCGGAUUUAUUGGGUUUAAAGGGUCCGUAGGCGGACUUAUAAGUCAGUGGUGAAAGCCUGUCGCUUAACGAUAGAACUGUUAUUGAUACUGUAAGUCUUGAGUAUAUUUGAGGUAGCUGGAAUAAGUAGUGUAGCGGUGAAAUGCAUAGAUAUUACUUAGAACACCAAUUGCGAAGGCAGGUUACCAAGAUAUAACUGACGCUGAGGGACGAAAGCGUGGGUAGCGAACAGGAUUAGAUACCCCUGUAGUCCCUGUCUCUUAUAU